rnacentral:rRNA from 1 species
AUCCGGAGGAUGCGAGCGUUAUCCGGAUUUAUUGGGUUUAAAGGGAGCGUAGGCGGGAGCUUAAGUCAGCGGUUAAAUGGUGCGGCUCAACCGUGCCCUGCCGUUGAAACUGGGUUUCUUGCGAGUGCAAGAGGCGGAUGGAAUUCAUGGAGUAGCGGUGGAAUGCUUAGAUAUCAUGAAGAACUCCGAUUGCGAAGGCAGUCCGCUGGGGCACGUCUGACGCUGAUGCUCGAAGGUGCGGGAAUCAAACAGGAUUAGAUACCCUGGUAGUCCGCACGGUAAACGAUGGUUACCCGCUGUCGGCGGCAGACAGUCGGCGGCCAAGCGAAAGCGAUAAGUAAUCCACCUGGGGAGUACGCCGGCAACAGUGAAACUCAAAUGAAUUGACGGGG